rnacentral:piRNA from 1 species
UUUAAAGAGUGCCCUGGGUAAAGUCUUA